GUAUAGCUCAGUUAGUUGACCAUUCUCCUGCCACCCGAAAGGUUGCUGGUUCAACUCCAGCCAGCGACA
rnacentral:tRNA from 1 species